UACCGAGUAUAUUUUGUCCAUUUUGGCGA
rnacentral:sRNA from 1 species